rnacentral:rRNA from 2 species
ANGGGCNGCGUACCAUGCAGUCGAGCGGCAGCGGGUCCUUCGGGAUGCCGGCGAGCGGCGGACGGGUGAGUAAUGCCUAGGAAUCUGCCUGGUAGUGGGGGAUAACUCGGGGAAACUCGAGCUAAUACCGCAUACGUCCUACGGGAGAAAGCGGGGGAUCUUCGGACCUCGCGCUACCAGAUGAGCCUAGGUCGGAUUAGCUAGUUGGUGAGGUAAAGGCUCACCAAGGCGACGAUCCGUAGCUGGUCUGAGAGGAUGAUCAGCCACACUGGAACUGAGACACGGUCCAGACUCCUACGGGAGGCAGCAGUGGGGAAUAUUGGACAAUGGGCGAAAGCCUGAUCCAGCCAUGCCGCGUGUGUGAAGAAGGUCUUCGGAUUGUAAAGCACUUUAAGUUGGGAGGAAGGGCAGUAAGUUAAUACCUUGCUGUUUUGACGUUACCGACAGAAUAAGCACCGGCUAACUUCGUGCCAGCAGCCGCGGUAAUACGAAGGGUGCAAGCGUUAAUCGGAAUUACUGGGCGUAAGCGCGCGUAGGUGGUUUGAUAGUUGGAUGUGAAAGCCCGGGCUCACCUGGGAUUGCAUCCAAACUGUCUGACAGAGUAUGGAGAGGGGGUGGAAUUCCUGUGUACGGUAAAUGCGUAAUUAGGAGGAACCCAGUGGCGAGGCGACCCCUGGGCUAUACUGACCUGAGUGCAAAGCGUGGGAGCAACAGGAUUGAUCCCUGGUAUCACGCGUAAACAUGUCAAUAGCCUUGGGAUCUUGAGAUCUUGUGGCGCGCUACGCAUUAGUCGACCCCUGGGAUACGCCGCAGGUGAAACUCAAUGAUUGACGGGGCCGCACAGCGUGGAGCUGUGUUUAUUCAAGCACGCAACACCUACAGCCUGACUGCAAGACUUCAGAAAUGAUUGUGCCUCCGGACUCGACCAGUGCUGAUGGUGUGUCACUCCGCCGGGAAGUGGGUAAGUCCUAACAAGCAACCUUUUCUUAUUCCACCGUUA